UACGUAGGGGGCAAGCGUUGUCCGGAAUUAUUGGGCGUAAAGCGCGCGCAGGCGGCCUUGUAAGUCUGGUGUUUAAGCUCGGGGCUCAACCCCGAUACGCAUCGGAAACUGCAAAGCUUGAGUGCAGAAGAGGAAAGUGGAAUUCCACGUGUAGCGGUGAAAUGCGUAGAGAUGUGGAGGAACACCAGUGGCGAAGGCGACUUUCUGGGCUGUAACUGACGCUGAGGCGCGAAAGCGUGGGGAGCAAACAGG
rnacentral:rRNA from 1 species